rnacentral:rRNA from 1 species
UGGGGGAUAUUGCACAAUGGGCGAAAGCCUGAUGCAGCGACGCCGCGUGGGGGAUGAAGGCCUUCGGGUUGUAAACUUCUUUUGCUCUGAACAAGGCGCACCAUGGGGUGUGUUGAGUGUAGGGGUUGAUUAGCGCCGGCUAACUACGUGCCAGCAGCCGCGGUCAUACGUAGGGCGCGAGCGUUGUCCGGAAUUAUUGGGCGUAAAGGGGUUGUAGGUGGCUGGUUGCGUCUGUCGUGAAAGCUCAUGGCUUAACUGUGGGUUUGCGGUGGGUACGAGCUGGCUUGAGUGCAGUAGGGGAGGCUGGAAUUCCUGGUGUAGCGGUGGAAUGCGCAGAUAUCAGGAGGAAUACCGGUGGCGAAGGCGGGUCUCUGGGCUGUUACUGACACUGAGGAGCGAAAGCAUGGGGAGCGAACAGG